rnacentral:rRNA from 1 species
UACGUAGGUGGCAAGCGUUGUCCGGAAUUAUUGGGCGUAAAGCGCGCGCAGGCGGUCCUUUACGUCUGAUGUGAAAGCCCACGGCUCAACCGUGGAGGGUCAUUGGAAACUGGGGGACUUGAGUACAGAAGAGAAGAGUGGAAUUCCACGUGUAGCGGUGAAAUGCGUAGAUAUCUGGAGGAACACCGGUGGCGAAGGCGGCAUCCUGGACCGGCAUUGACGCUGAUGAGCGAAAGCCAGGGGAGCAAACGGG